GUGGUUCCAUGAAGGCCUUGCUGGUAAUUAUUCUAAUAUGGUCUUCAUUUUAUACAUUUCAUUUGCUUAUUUAGGCUGCUGAGUGCUGACUCAGAAUUAGCCUGCUCUAUUCCUCCAUUGAAAUUUGACAUUAUAUUUUUCACAUUAGCACUUUUCCUCUUUUAUUUUAAUAAUGUCCAUCAUUACAUUAGCACUAUUGUUAGAAGAGGUGGUGAUCAAAAUGUUUGCAAAUCUUGGUUGACCAGGGGCCACACCUUGUGUCAAGUUUAGUCAUUUAAUUAGUAUCAUUGUCACUUGGUAGUUGUUGUGAGUUAUCCUUGUUGGAAUAUAUGCAUUAUCCUAGUUUAUAGAUGAAACUUACUUUUGAAUACUGGAAAAUAUAUUGAGGGUCUGAGUUGAGAUGAGUUUUAAUAUGCUCAUGUUCAACUCAUUUGUGAAAUGAGCUUAAAGCCUUAAACUAAGGCUUAAAUUUGACUCAUUUAUUAAAUGAUCAAAGUUUAGCCGAGUGUAAAAUUGUUGAAUUAAGGGCAUUUAGUAUACCUAAGUAGUAAAUGAAACCAUUCUAAAAUUUAUUCAGAAAGAUAUUUUUUUAGAAUAUCAAUAUACUUGAUUAUAUUUGUGCAUUUUUUUAUUAUGAUAAAUUAUGUAGCCUCUACUGGUACAAAUAUAACAAAUAUAGGAGCUCCAAGGCAAUGUACUUGUAAUUAUUUGGUUUAAUCAACUGAAAUUUGGAUGGCGAGAUAAGUUUUUCAAAUUUGCUCUUAACUGUCUUUGUGUGUGUGAUUGAAAUAUUUUUUCUGUUAAAAAAAAUUUGAGGAGCCUGAAGGUCAUUUUGUACUCUUAACUUCAGUGCUUAUAUCUAAUACUUCACUAACUGCUUUUGGUUAUUUUUUGUUUCAUUGC
rnacentral:misc_RNA from 1 species